rnacentral:rRNA from 1 species
GUAACGUAGCUAACGCGUGAAGUUGACCGCCUGGGGAGUACCGUCGCAAGAUUAAAACUCAAAGGAAUUGACGGGGACCCGCCCAAGCGGUGGAUGAUGUGGAUUAAUUCGAUGCAACGCGAAAAACCUUACCUACCCUUUACAUGCCACUAACGAAGCAGAGAUGCAUUAGGUGCUCGAAAGAGAAAGUGGACACAGGUGCUGCAUGGCUGUCGNCAGCUCGUGUCGUGAGAUGUUGGGUUAAGUCCCGCAACGAGCGCAACCCUUGUCUCUAGUUGCUACGAAAGGGCACUCUAGAGAGACUGCCGGUGACAAACCGGAGGAAGGUGGGGAUGACGUCAAGUCCUCAUGGCCCUUAUGGGUAGGGCUUCACACGUCAUACAAUGGUGCAUACAGAGGGUUGCCAAGUCGCGAGGUGGNGCUAAUCCCAGAAAAUGCAUCGUAGUCCGGAUCGUAGUCUGCAACUCGACUACGUGAAGCUGGAAUCGCUAGUAAUCGCGGAUCAGCAUGCCGCGGUGAAU